CAUCCCUCUCCCCUAGGUCCGAAAACCCUAGGUCCUUAAUCUCCAAAACCUUCCAUUUCUCUUAGUUUUGAUCAAGAUCAUCCAUCAAAAAGUGAAGAAGCAUGAAGAUUAUUAUGUUCUACCGGUUGGAAUUUCGAGAUUUUGGAGGAUUCUUCUCAAUCCUUGCUCCUUUGUUUGAUUCUUGAGGAUUAGCUACAAGGACGGACUACGCACCUGAACACUGCACUCAACCUGGAGAUUUAACCUGCACCUGUGGCUUUUGUUACCCAGUUGUCAAACCCUGAGUAUCAAAGCUAUUAGAUGUUGAUUGUUCAAGUUAUGGAGUUUUGCUAAGUUUUAAUUUGUACCCUAAUUGUCUGUUAAGAUCGGCGUAUAUGUAUAUGUACAUAGCUAUCUUCGGG